AGGGUAACGAUGCGGCCCCUAAAGUCCGCGUCACUUAAAAAGGUAAAAAGGUAAAAAUUAUG
rnacentral:sRNA from 12 species